rnacentral:piRNA from 1 species
ACGUGAAACUUGGGAUGUGUAUG